UACGAAGGGGGCUAGCGUUGCUCGGAAUUACUGGGCGUAAAGCGCACGUAGGCGGCUUUCUAAGUCGGGGGUGAAAUCCUGGAGCUCAACUCCAGAACUGCCCUUCGAUACUGGAGAGCUCGAGUCCGGGAGAGGUGAGUGGAACUGCGAGUGUAGAGGUGAAAUUCGUAGAUAUUCGCAAGAACACCAAGUGGCGAAGGCGGCUCACUGGCCCGGUACUGACGCUGAGGUGCGAAAGCGAUGGGGAGCAAAC
rnacentral:rRNA from 1 species